UAGCUCAGUGGUAGAGCACUUGCCUAGCAAGCACGAGGCCCUGGGUUUGGUCCCCAG
rfam:Rattus norvegicus chromosome 3, whole genome shotgun sequence.